GACGAACGCUGGCGGCGUGCUUAACACAUGCAAGUCGAACGGAAAGGCCCUGCUAUUGUGCGGUGCUCGAGUGGCGAACGGGUGAGUAACACGUGUGUAACCUGCCCUUGACUUUGGGAUAACUUCAGGAAACUGGGGCUAAUACCGUAUAGGAGCUCCUGCUGCGUGGUGGGCGGUGGAAAGUCUCGGCGGUUGGGGAUGGACUGGCGGCUUAUCAGCUUGUUGGUGGGGGAGUGGUUUACCAAGGCAUUGGCGGGUAGGCCGCACGGGAGGGGGACCGGGCACCAUAGGCCUGCGGGACGGACCAGUGGCCAACGGGGGGCAAUGGGGGGGAAUAUUACCCAGUCGGCCGAAGUCGGUGGAGGAGACCUCCGGGUUGUGAAGACGGUCUUUGGGGUAUGAACCGCUUUCGCCUGUGACGAAGCGGGAGUGACGGUAAUGGGUAAAGAAGCACCGGCUAACUACGUG
rnacentral:rRNA from 1 species